AGUAUUUUUGUUAGAAUCCAUGGUCAAUGAACCGGCUUAAACGAACAACUUUUCAACAGACAGAGUAUAACCAAAAACAGGUAUUCACACACAAUAACCAGCAAACAGAGUAUAACCAAAAACCAAAUCAGGUAUUCACAGACAACACCAGAUGCUCACAUACACAGAGUCAGAUAAUCACAUAUAAUACCGAAGAUAAGGACAGAGUUACCCUCCUUACAACACCAGAUGCUCACAUACACAGAGUCAGAUAAUCACAUAUAAUACCGAAGGUAAGGACAGAGUUACCCUCCUUCUUCGCGACCGGAGAAGAUCGGCCAUCAAACAACAGAGAAACCCUAGGUAUCAAACCCUAG
rnacentral:lncRNA from 1 species